rnacentral:rRNA from 1 species
CAGCCAAGUCGUGAGGCGGAGCUAAUCCCUUAAAGCCAUUCUCAGUUCGGAUUGUAGGCUGAAACUCGCCUACAUGAAGCUGGAGUUACUAGUAAUCGCAGAUCAGAAUGCUGCGGUGAAUGCGUUCCCGGGUCUUGUACACACCGCCCGUCACACCACGGAAGUUGGGGGCGCCCGAAGCCACUUAGCUAACCCUUUUGGGAAGCGAGUGUCGAAGGUGAAAUCAAUAACUGGGGUGAAGUCGUAACAAGGUAUC